rnacentral:rRNA from 1 species
GCUCAGGAUGAACGCUAGCGGCAGGCCUAUACAUGCAAGUCGAACGGGAUCGGGGGCUUCGGUCCCCGUGAGAGUGGCGCACGGGUGCGUAACGCGUGAGCAACCUGCCCGUCCCAGGGGGAUAGCCCGGAGAAAUCCGGAUUAAUACCGCAUGAGAAUGCAGGUCCGCAUGGGCCUUCGUUUAAAUAUUCAUAGGGGACGGAUGGGCUCGCGUGACAUUAGCUUGUUGGCGGGGUAACGGCCCACCAAGGCGACGAUGUCUAGGGGCUCUGAGAGGAGAAACCCCCACACUGGUACUGAGACACGGACCAGACUCCUACGGGAGGCAGCAGUAAGGAAUAUUGGUCAAUGGGGGGAACCCUGAACCAGCCAUGCCGCGUGCAGGAAGACGGCCCUACGGGUUGUAAACUGCUUUUGCACGAGAAUAACCCCGGUAUGUAUACCGGGCUGAAUGUACCGUGAGAAUAAGGAUCGGCUAACUCCGUGCCAGCAGCCGCGGUAAUACGGAGGAUCCGAGCGUUAUCCGGAAUUAUUGGGUUUAAAGGGUGCGUAGGCGGCGCGCUAAGUCAGGGGUGAAAGACGGUGGCUCAACCAUCGCAGUGCCUUUGAUACUGGCGCGCUUGAAUUGUACCUGAGGUAGGCGGAAUGUGGCAAGUAGCGGUGAAAUGCAUAGAUAUGCCACAGAACACCGAUUGCGAAGGCAGCUUACCAAAGUACGAUUGACGCUGAGGCACGAAAGCGUGGGGAUCGAACAGGAUUAGAUACCCUGGUAGUCCACGCCCUAAACGAUGAACACUCGAUGUCGGCGAUAGACUGGUCGGCGUCCAAGCGAAAGCGUUAAGUGUUCCACCUGGGAGUACGCCCGCAAGGGUGAAACUCAAAGGAAUUGACGGGGGCCCGCACAAGCGGAGGAGCAUGUGGUUUAAUUCGAUGAUACGCGAGGAACCUUACCCGGGCUUGAAAGUUACUGAAUUGUCCAGAGAUGGACAAGGUCCUUCGGGACAGGAAACUAGGUGCUGCAUGGCUGUCGUCAGCUCGUGCCGUGAGGUGUUGGGUUAAGUCCCGCAACGAGCGCAACCCCUAUGUUUAGUUGCCAGCACGUCAAGGUGGGGACUCUAAACAGACUGCCUGUGCAAACAGAGAGGAAGGCGGGGACGACGUCAAGUCAUCAUGGCCCUUACGUCCGGGGCUACACACGUGCUACAAUGGGGGGUACAGAGGGCAGCGACACCGCGAGGUGAAGCCAAUCUCAGAAAGCCCCUCACAGUUCGGAUCGGGGUCUGCAACUCGACCCCGUGAAGUUGGAUUCGCUAGUAAUCGCGUAUCAGCAAUGACGCGGUGAAUACGUUCCCGGGCCUUGUACACACCGCCCGUCAAGCCAUGAAAGCCGGGGGUACCUAAAGCAUGUAACCGCAAGGAG